rnacentral:rRNA from 1 species
UAGCCCCGUAUUCGAAAUCCCAUUGGAAGUACUAAGCGUACGACAAGUAAGGCGGGACACGUGAAAUCCUGUCCGAAGACGGGGGGACCAUCCUCCAAGGCUAAAUACUCAUCAUCGACCGAUAGUGAACCAGUACCGUGAGGGAAAGGCGAAAAGAACCCCGGGAGGGGAGUGAAACAGAACCUGAAACCUGAUGCAUACAAACAGUGGGAGCCCCGUAUGGGGUGACUGCGUACCUUUUGUAUAAUGGGUCAACGACUUACAUUCAGUAGCGAGCUUAACCGGAUAGGGGAGGCGCAGGGAAACCGAGUCUUAAUAGGGCGCCAAGUUGCUGGGUGUAGACCCGAAACCGAGUGAUCUAUCCAUGGCCAGGAUGAAGGUGCGGUAACACGCACUGGAGGUCCGAACCCACGCAUGUUGCAAAAUGCGGGGAUGAGCUGUGGAUAGGGGUGAAAGGCUAAACAAACUCGGAGAUAGCUGGUUCUCCCCGAAAACUAUUUAGGUAGUGCCUCAUGUAUCACUUCCGGGGGUAAAGCACUGUUAUGGCUAGGGGGUCAUUGCGACUUACCAACCCAUGGCAAACUCAGAAUACCGGAAAGUGCAAUCAUGGGAGACAGACAGCGGGUGCUAACGUCCGUUGUCAAGAGGGAAACAACCCAGACCGCCGGCUAAGGUCCCAAAUGACAGAUUAAGUGGUAAACGAAGUGGGAAGGCACAGACAGCCAGGAUGUUGGCUUAGAAGCAGCCAUCAUUUAAAGAAAGCGUAAUAGCUCACUGGUCGAGUCUUCCUGCGCGGAAGAUGUAACGGGGCUCAAAUCUGUAACCGAAGCCGCGGAUGCGUUUUUACGCAUGGUAGGGGAGCGUUCUGUAAGCCUGCGAAGGCAGACUGUAAAGUCUGCUGGAGGUAUCAGAAGUGCGAAUGUUGACAUGAGUAGCGAUAAAGCGGGUGAAAAGCCCGCUCGCCGAAAGCCCAAGGUUUCCUACGCAACGUUCAUCGGCGUAGGGUGAGUCGGUCCCUAAGGCGAGGCAGAAAUGCGUAGCCGAUGGGAAACGGGUUAAUAUUCCCGUACUUUGAUUCAAUGCGAUGUGGGGACGGAGAAGGUUAUGCCGGCAGACUGUUGGAAUAGUCUGUUCAAGCACGUAGGUGGAAAGAGUAGGCAAAUCCGCUCUUUCUCAACACCGAGAUGCGAUAACGAGCAACCAAGGUUGCGAAGCGGCAAAUACCACGCUUCCAGGAAAAGCCACUAAGCUCCAGUUGAAUCAGAACCGUACCGCAAACCGACACAGGUGGGCAGGAUGAGAAUUCUAAGGCGCUUGAGAGAACUCGGGAGAAGGAACUCGGCAAAUUGAUACCGUAACUUCGGGAGAAGGUAUGCCCUUUCAGGUGAAGGACUCGCUCCGUAAGCCAGAGAGGGCCGCAGAGAAUAGGUGGCUGCGACUGUUUAUUAAAAACACAGCACUCUGCCAACACGAAAGUGGACGUAUAGGGUGUGACGCCUGCCCGGUGCUGGAAGGUUAAUUGAAGAUGUGCAAGCAUCGGAUCGAAGCCCCAGUAAACGGCGGCCGUAACUAUAACGGUCCUAAGGUAGCGAAAUUCCUUGUCGGGUAAGUUCCGACCCGCACGAAUGGCGUAACGAUGGCCACACUGUCUCCUCCCGAGACUCAGCGAAGUUGAAAUGGUUGUGAAGAUGCAAUCUCCCCGCUGCUAGACGGAAAGACCCCGUGAACCUUUACUGCAGCUUUGCAUUGGACUUUGAAGUCACUUGUGUAGGAUAGGUGGGAGGCUGUGAAACAGAAACGCCAGUUUCUGCGGAGCCGUCCUUGAAAUACCACCCUGGUG